ensembl:lncRNA
GUUAGGGUUAGGUUUAGGGUUUGGGUUACGGUUAGGUUCAGGGAUAGGGUUAGGGUUAUGGUUGGGGGUAGGGUUAGGGUUAAGGUUUUAUUUAGUGUUCUGUUUAGCUUUAUGGUUAGGGGUAGGUUAGUGUUAGAAUUAGAUUUAGGGUUACGCUUAGGGUCAGAUUAGGGUAUGGCUUACUGUUAGGGUUAUUGUUAUGGUUAGGGUUAUGGUUCGUGUAGGGUAGGCUUGAGGUUAUAGAAUAGGUUUGGGUUAGGUAAGGGUUAGGGCUACGUUUAAAGUUUUAUUUUUCUUUUGGGUUAGGGUUAGGGUUAAGUUUAGUGUUAAGGUUAGGUUUACGGUUAGGGUUAGGGUUAGGCUUAGUGUUAGGGUUAGCGUUAAAGCAUAUUUAGGGUAAGGGUCGGGUUACAGUUAGCGUUAGGGUUAGGGAUGGGAUUAGCAUAAGGGUUAGGGUUAGAGUUAGGCCUAGGGUAAGUUUAGGGUAAGGGUAGGUUUAGCGAUAGGGUUACGUUAGGGUUAGGGUUAGGGUUAGGGUUAGGGGUCGGGUUAGGGUUAGGGUUAGGGUUUGGGUUAGGGUUACGGUUAGGGUUAGUGUUAGGGUUAGGGUUAGUGUUAGGGUAGGGGUAAAGUUAUGGUUAGGUUUAUUGUGAGGAUAAGGCUUCGGUUUACGUUUUUGGUUGGGUUCGGCUUAGGGUUAGGGUUAGUGUUACGGUUAGGGCUAAAGUAUGUUUAGGGUAAGGGUCGGGUUAGAGUUAGCGUUAGGGUUAGGGUUACGGUUAGGGUUAGACUUAGGGUAAGUUUAGGGUAAGGGCAGGGUUAGGGAUAGGGUUACGUUAGGGUUAGGGUUAGGGUUAGCUUUAGGGGUAGGGUUAGGGUUAAGGUUAGGGUAGGGAAAAGUUUAGGAUUAGGGUAGGGUUAGGGUUAGGGUUAGGGUUAGGGUAGGGUUAGGGUUCGGGUUAGGCUUAGGGUAAUUUUAGGGUAAGGGUUUUGGUUAGGGUUAUGGCAAGGGUUAGGAUUACGGUUAGGGUUACGGGUCGGAAAAUAGUUAGGGUUAGAGUUACGUUUGUGGUAGUGUUAGGCUUAGGGUUAGAGUUAGUGUUAAGGUUAGGGUUAAAUUAAGGUUAGGAUUAGCGUUAGGGUUAGGGUUAGGGUUAGGCAUAGUGUAAGUUUUGUGUAAGGGUUAGGGUUAGGGUUAGGGUUAGGGUUAGGGUUAGGGUUAGGGUUAGGGUUAGGGUUAGGGUUAGGGUUAGGGUUAGGGUUAGGUUAGGGUUAGGGUUAGGGUUUGGGUCAGGGUUAGGGUUAGGGUUGGGCUAGGUUUUGUGUUAGGCUUAGGGUUAGGGUUAGGGUUAGGAAAAUAGGGUUAGAGCUACAUUUGUGGUAGGGAUAGGCUUAGGGUUAGGGUUGGCAUGACGGUUAGGGUUAGGGUUUGGGUUAAGGUUUGGGUUACAGUUAGGGUCAGGGUUGGGGUAGGUUUAGUGUUAGGCUUAGGGUUAGGGUUAGGGUUAGGAAAGUAGUUAGGGUUAGGGUUAGGGUUACGGUUAGGUUUAGGGUUAGGGUUAGGGUUAGGCUUAGGGUUAGGGUUAGGCUUAGGGAUAGUGUUAGGGUUAGGGUUUGGGUUAGGCAUAGGGUAAGUUUGGUGUAAGUGUACAGUUAGGGAUAGGGAUAGCGGUAGUGUUAGGAUUAGGCUUAGGGUUAGGGUUAGUGUUAAGAUUAGGGUUAAAGUAAGGUUAGGGUUAGGGUUAGGGUUAGGCUUAACAUUAUGUUCAGGGUUAGGGUUAGGGUUAGGGUAAAUUUAGGGUAAGUGUAGGGUUAGGGAUAGGGUUAGGGUUAGGGUUAGGGUUAGGGUUAGGGUUAGGGUUAGGGUUAGGGUUAGGGUUAGG